CAAGCACCUAAACCCGAGACCUGCUGUUUGUUGUAGCAGCAGUUUAAACAGAGGUGCAAGCGGAUCUCGUUGCCUUUGGGGGAUGAGGCUGUGCCCCUCAAAGUAAAAGGGAGGUUCUACACUC